UUUCCGUAGGUGGACCUGCGGAAGGAUCAUUAUUGUAUAACCGAGGUGCGAGGGCUGUCGCUGACCCGAAAGGUCGUGCACGCCCGAGUGCCCUCACACAUAGCCAUCUCACCCCUAUGUGCACCACCGCGUGGGUCCCCCUUUGGCUUGUUCGGAGGGGGGCUUACGUUUUCACACAAACUUUGUAUGCAGUGUAGAAUGUAUUUUUUGUUUUUGCGAUCACGCAAUCAAUACAACUUUCAACAACGGAUCUCUUGGCUCUC
rnacentral:misc_RNA from 1 species